CGUGAGCUCCCAACAUUCUGGCAUGUCUGUUAGUAGUCGUAGAAGAUGAAGAAGAAGAAAAAAGCGGCAGCCCUUUUUGGUAAUUUCAUUAUGCACUUGUGAUACAUAUAAUUAAUUAAUUAAAAAAAUAAAGAAAAAGAUGGCGGGAACAAAACGGUGUCGUUUUGGGAAUUUUAGUGCUGUACCCGUGAAGGAUUUAUUAUUGGUAAUAAUUAUAUAUAUAAAAAAAAAAGGUCAAAUU
rnacentral:lncRNA from 1 species